rnacentral:rRNA from 1 species
ACAGGGAUUGCCCUAGUAACGGCGAGUGAAGCGGCAACAGCUCAAAUUUGAAAUCUGGCGUCUUUGGCGUCCGAGUUGUAAUUUGCAGAGGGCGCUUUGGCAUUGGCAGCGGUCCAAGUUCCUUGGAACAGGACGUCACAGAGGGUGAGAAUCCCGUACGUGGUCGCUAGCCUUUACCGUGUAAAGCCCCUUCGACGAGUCGAGUUGUUUGGGAAUGCAGCUCUAAAUGGGAGGUAAAUUUCUUCUAAAGCUAAAUACUGGCCAGAGACCGAUAGCGCACAAGUAGAGUGAUCGAAAGAUGAAAAGCACUUUGGAAAGAGAGUUAAAAAGCACGUGAAAUUGUUGAAAGGGAAGCGCUUGCAGCCAGACUUGCCUGUAGUUGCUCAUCCGGGUUUCUACCCGGUGCACUCUUCUAUAGGCAGGCCAGCAUCAGUUUGGGCGGUUGGAUAAAGGUCUCUGUCAUGUACCUCCUUUCGGGGAGAACUUAUAGGGGAGACGACAUGCAACCAGCCCGGACUGAGGUCCGCGCAUCUGCUAGGAUGCUGGCGUAAUGGCUGUAAGCGGCCCGUCUUGAAACACGGACCAAGGAGUCUAACAUCUAUGCGAGUGUUUGGGUGUCAAGCCCGAGCGCGUAAUGAAAGUGAACGGAGGUGGGAACCUUUCGGGGUGCACCAUCGACCGAUCCUGAUGUCUUCGGAUGGAUUUGAGUAAGAGCAUAGCUGUUGGGACCCGAAAGAUGGUGAACUAUGCUUGAAUAGGGUGAAGCCAGAGGAAACUCUGGUGGAGGCUCGCAGCGGUUCUGACGUGCAAAUCGAUCGUCAAAUUUGG